rnacentral:rRNA from 1 species
GACGAACGCUGGCGGCGUGCUUAACACAUGCAAGUCGAACGAAGUGGCGAACGGGUGAGUAACGCGUAAUCAACCUGCCCUUCAGGGGGGGACAACAGUUGGAAACGACUGCUAAUACCGCAUACUGAAGGAGGGGAUUGCGUCGGAUUAGCUAGUUGGAGGGGUGACGGCCCACCAAGGCGAUGAACAGGAGCCGGUCUGGAAGGAUGGACGGCCACAAUGGGACUUGGACACGGCCCAGACUCCUACGGGAGGGAGCAAGGGGGAAUCUUCCGAAAUGGGCGAAAGUCUGACGGAGCAACGCCGCGUGAGUGAUGACGGGCUUCGGGUUGUAAAGCUAUGUUAAUCGGGACGCGGUACCGGAAUAGAAAGCCACGGCUAACUACGUGCCAGCAGCCGCGGUAAUUC